AGGAGGAGGCGGAGGGAGAUACCAUUCUGCAGCUGAUCCACUUCAACAGGAGGAGAGAGGAGAGGAGAGAGGCGCGCUUCCUGGACCACACCAUCCCCGAGACAUAAAGGUUUGACGAGAAGGAACACAGUCAUUACCACUGGCAGCCAUAACUUUUCACCUCGGCGCUGGCGGCUUCCCUGACUGCAUCACUGCUAUCUGAUUCCCAUCCAGCCCCAGUGAGACAGGCGGCACAUAAACAAACAGAACCUGGGCGCGCAUGGACGGCCUAUCAAUCACUCCGCAGCCCCUUUCUUCGGCAGACGUCAGCCAAUUGCAAGUCCUCUGUGGGGGGCUUGGUGGGAGCCGGGGCAGGGAGACUUGGAAGCUCGGGUUUGGAGGCCCGCGGCCGGGGCUUCUGCGGAGCGCGAGGGGCCUCCUGCUCGAUGAAGUUGUUCUCCUCCGUUUCCUCUUGUGGAGGAUAGGAACUGUCAUCUUCAAGUAAAGUCACAAAAACAAGGUGAGCGCCCAGGUUCUGCCCAAUCUGUGGCAGUAAUCCUGCAGGGCCGUGCUCCCACAGACAGGUCUCAGCCCACUCCUCUGCUGUGCGCUCCAACUCUGUGUCCCAAACCUGCAGAGAAGACGAGAGAGUGAAACAAAGCCUCAAUGCGGAGAUAAAUCCAUAAACCUGGCGCUUCACCACAGCAGAAGGAAGCUGAGAAAGAUGGACUCGGACUUUCCCAGCCUUGUUGACACAUGCAGCUCCAGAACCACAGCUCCCAUUGAGAGUUUAGAGGAAGUUGGUGAGUGCAGGAAUGGCCUCACCAGCUUUGAGCAGCUCCUAAAACCCAAAAGACAUUCCCAUCUGGACAGGAUGCAAAACUGUGAGAUUCUGGUUUGAUGUAUGGCCAAGGAACCAGAAGGUGUUCUGCAGGAGUGAGGGCCAAGGACGAGGAAAGAAGAGUGGAGACUGAACCUGAGGGGAUGGUGGGUUUGUAUCUGUCUCGGCCAUGAAGCUACCUGAGGGAUCACUGCUGCAAACCUUUAUGACCAUGUUGCCUUAACCAGUCAGGGAAGGUCCUGUCAUGAGCCAUUCAUUGUAGCAGCGUUUGGCACGAGUGCUGUUUACAUUCUUGGCAUUAUAUUAAGCAGGUUCCGCGUGGGCCGGGAUUUGCCUCAUUGCGUCUCCUGUCUGUAAUAUUCCUGUUUGCUAUGCAGCCAGUGCACGUGAGGCCUGGAGACCGUCCUGUUCGGGGACAUUAAGGAUGAAUGUUAAUCUCUUGCUGUCGCGGUUUCACUGGAGCCUUGGAUGCGGAGUGGAUCGCUACAGGGACCAUGGUGUUCAGCUGCUGCUCUUUACAUGUAGAGAAACCAGUGGAUGUGUUUUGAACACUUGUGUCAGAUCUCCCUGGGCAGCUCCCUUUGAAGGUUUUCUGGAUUUCUGGAUAAUAUCGGAUGAUGGUUGGACAGACCCACGUCCCUCUGGAAAGAAUUCAUCACUAAGCACUAAGGGAUCCUGCAAGAGACGCAGAGCAAAGCUGCUGCUGGAACAAAAGAUGUUUGGGUUGCUUCACAUAAUUCUUCACCACUGGAGGCUGAUAAUUACUAUUCAUCGAAACCAUUUUCCCCCCAAACAGAUGCUGCCUAAAUAGGUCUUAGAUAUAUGUCUUAGAUUAAGUUAAUUUAGGGGCAAAUUUAUUUUCUAGACCUUAAUGAUUGUCUCACCAGGGCUUCACAGGUUGUGAAGCACAAGAGUGCGACAACAAAUUAAAGUGAUAAACUGAAGUCAUCCUGAGCAAGAUGUCAAUACCAGCUUCAUCCCGAAUCCCAAACAUCUCUUCCACCUGAGUGCAGCCCGGCGAAGCCAAGUUAAACAUAAAGGAAGGUGUGGACCUUUCUCCCAAGAUGCAUUCUGUUUGUCUUACAUCACUUCAAACGCUGACACGUCUGUGUUUAUACCUGUGGGUCAACAUUUGAGCGAGGGGCAGGAGACGCCGUCCCCCUCGACUGAGGCAGCACUGCAGCUCUGUGGAUCGCUACGGAGUGUGAAUGCUGAUCCGGGGGAAUUUUUCGGGCCUCUGUGUUGGAUAAUGACAGAAUGGGAACGGAGCCACAGGGAUAAGAGGGAGGGAGGCAGAGAGAGAGAGAGAGAGAGAGAGAGAGAGAGAGAGAGAGAGAGAGAAGGAUGGCAAGAAAAUGAAACAGAUGAAGAGGGAGGGAGGAGAGGGAUUUGAAUUGAUGUUAUCUCUGCGAUGACGGAGGGUCACUCAGGUUUCAUACAAUGGUUUCAUAAAAUAACAGAGCUGAUGGGCAAAUGGCGAUGUAUGUGCAACAGGAUUUGUGUGUGUGUGUGUGUGUGUGUGUGUGUGUGUGUGUGUGUGUGUGUGUGUGUGUGUGUGUGUGUGUGUGUGCAUGAGUGUGUUGAGGAGCAGGGGAGCAUGUCUAGGAAGUCUUCCAGUACAGUGAAGCUGUGAGGUUUCUGAGAGGUGACAGCAGUUCAACACAGACAGAGGGAGAAUCUGGAGCCCCUUUCAAAAUAAAAUAAAGAAAAACAAAAACACUCAACAUGUGACAUGAAGAGUUUUCUGCCUGAAAGAUGUUGACACAACAGAAUUGCAAAUAAGAUUUUGGCGUUUUACAAGUCGUUGUCUCUUCUUACUUUGCGCCUCUUCGAAAUGUCUCUUUCUUUUCUCAUUUCCUCUUCAUCUUCUUUUCAAUUAUUUCGACACCUGUUUUGCUGUCCUCUCUCCCUCCAUCUGCGUUUCAUUGCUUCCCCCUUCCUACUCGCAAAUCUCCAUUAUCUUCACCCCUGUAUUCCCUCCUAACUUUUCUCUCUCUUUCUCUCACCUCACGUCCUCUUGUUGCACGCCUCUCCAUAUUUCACCCCUGGGUGCCCCUGCAGCUAAAAAAAAAACAGCCCACUGUAACAGGAGACAGUAGAAAGGAGCUGUACAUUGCUGGCUCAGCGUUUCUCCACUGGUGUGCCUCAACCCGAGCUUCACACACACAUAUACACACAAGGGGUCCUGAAGUCCAACCUCUCAAUUAUACAAUUACACACUCCAGCAAUUGCCCCCAGCACGAACUGUUUAUUUGCCUUCGCCAUAGAAUAAUACUGCCUUUUGUUCUGCAGCUCUUUAAGCGGAGAUGAAACGAUGAUAAAAGCUCAUUAUCCUCUGCACGCCGUGGUGAUAUUUAACCUCUAAGUGCUGCUGGUGGCCAUGUACUGUGGCGGUCAAGCAGCGCCUACACAUGUAGUGUACUUGGAAAACUUCCAGAUCUGCAGCACACUAACUUUUAGAAGGUGUGUCGUGCCUGUGUGUGUGUGUGUGUGUGUGUGUGUGUGUGUGUGUGUGUGUGUGUGUGUGUGUGUGUGUGUGUGUGUGUGUGUGUGUGUUUAGUGGGGGGUGAGACAGCUGGUAAAACAAGCCCUGGUGCCGUGCUCUGAUUCUAAUUGCACUGUGAAAAGUGAUCUGGCGCUGUACACACAUGUGAUGGCCAGGGGAUAAAGUCAAACAAAUCUGUUAGCAUGAGUAAAAAAAGAAAAGAAAAGAGAAAAACCUAGUAGUAAUGUGAUCAUUGGCAAGUCGGUGGAAUUCUUCUCUUCUGGCUAAACAACCAAAAGUCACAUGAGUAUAAACUUGUGUGUCUGUGUGUUAGUGUGUGUGUGUAUGUGUGUGCGAAGGUGCCUAGAUGUUGGCGUGCUGCUCGUGAGUGAGUCAAGUGGAACAAGUGCCAGAGUGGUCAGGUGACUGGGUCAGUCCUAAGCUCUGCGGACCACAACCGUGCAAAACUCUCCGGGAGUUCAGAAUGGGGUCAAAGAGUUUUAACACAUAUAAAUUCCAUCAAACUGUGGGAAUCAUUCUGAAGGUGCACGUCCCGACACCUCCAUCCUCCAUCCACCUACCAUGUGCUCCAUGUUGGACGAGGGAGGGUACACCUGGCCUCUGAGCUUGUUGUGGAGGUCCAGGAUGACCUGAGCGUCGCUGUCCGUGAUGGCCCUCUUGCCCCUCUGCUUGGCCUCCCACCAGUCCCCGUCCUCGUCCAAAUACUUGUCCAGGAUCUGCUGCCAGCCCGUGGCGUUGGGGAGCAUCACCAUGGAGGUGGCGGCCUGGAGCAGCAGGAGCAGGGACGCGCCCCUCAGCCAGUGGAGGGAUUCACCACUCAUCCUUGGUAGUGACGGCGGUGAUGCUCUCAGAUUGAAGUAGGGUGGAAGAAGCUGUCUCCAGUCUAUGAGCUGGAAAAGGAGCCGAGAGGAGAGAGAGCGAAACUGAAAUAACUGUUCUGCAUCAAAUUGAUGAAUAACUUGGGUCAAUACUGAGCUCGGUGUGGACAGAACAUUGGCCUGCAGACACUGCGGUUCACUGAGGGCGAGCUGGCAGGCGGUGGGUGAGAGAAAUUCCUGCAAGUGCUGAACUGAAUAUUUCACAUCUUUUUUCCCAAAUCAAGAACCCAGUGAGGACAGAAAAGCUUCAAAUCACAUAAGAAGAAGCAGCUAAGUGCACAGAAUGAUUCAUAAUGCAGCUAAUGUAUUCACGCUGCUGUAUGUGUGUAUACUUUGAGCUGAACUCCUUUGGUAUGCGUGCUGCAGUGCUGAUAGAACGAGCCAAUACCUAAUGGAACACUGUAGAAGUGUAAUGCACAUGGAAAUGGAAAAUUGAGUGGUGUGAUUUAAACUCUGGAGAUAAUUUACCUUUUAAUGAAUUGGAACAGAGCCCUCUGCUCCAGAUGCUGACAGAGAUCUGGCUGUGAGAAGACGUCUGCAGCAGGGAGAGAUUAUGAAGAAUAAAAACUUUUAAAGAUCCGUCUCUUCAGGGUGGAGUUGCGCAGCUCAGGUGGAGCAGUGAGCAGUCGCUGGCUGAAGAUCUGGUGCGUAAAUCACAGCGCUCCGUUUCCACCAGCCUGCUGACAGAGGAAGUUCAAGUCUCUCUUCUUUCGGGAUUCUCGCUCCGGAGCUGCAGGAGCAUCACUUAUCCACAUUUUUAUCCUCGGCUUGGCUGCGGUGCGAGAGAGCCGCCCCCUGGCCCCGACCACGCCCCUCCACACAUGGAACCGGCCCACAGUCGCUUGUGCCAAGGACCUUUGCGCGCGUCCUGGAGUCGUGCGCGCCGGAGCCUGAAGCCUGUUCAGUAUAAUCUGAGCAGAAACUUAAUUUCUCUCCUUCAGUGUUGUGAUGAGCAAGUUAAACAUGAGACUCUGUGACACACACAUGCACAGAAAGUCUCUACUCAACAGAAUUAACACACAAUCAAGUAAAGUGUUAAUGUUUACUACCCCCAGUAUAGUAAGUUUAUAUUAACUGUUACUUUUAAAUAUAUCUUAUGAUAUAUCAUCUGAUUUGAGUGGCUAUAAAACUAUAAUAUACAGACAUUCAAGGACGCUGGGAGUGGGGGUGCUGAGGGGGCUGCAGCAGCUGUAACUUCAAGGGAAAAAUAUGUAGGAAUAUGACCUACAAAAUAAAACAUGAGUAUAAGAUGUGCACAUUCACAGUUAUCGCAGCAGUAAGCAGAGUUUUGGUGUGAACAGAAACUAUUCAGCUCAGGGUUGUGAGAGUUCACCUUGAUAUGACUUCAUUAAUGAACCUAAAUCUAGAUUCUCUUACAGGCCCAUCAUUGAAGGAACAAACUCUUUAAAUCAGUGUUACCUUUACUCGGGGGCACCCCUAAUGGGAGCCGCCCAAUCCUCUGUUAUGGAGCCCAAACUGUUUAAUGAAAUAGUGUAUGAUAGAAAAAACUGCAUAUAGUUGAGCUGUAGGUGAAUGUGACUACCAGUGUAAAACACUUUGAAUGGUCAAUAAAAAUCACUUAAUAAACAGCCCACAGUCCCUUUAACAUUAUUCCUUUCAUGCUCAGAGAGGAAACAAGCUCUACUGUAACAGCUUGUUGUUCCACUGUUCCUCUCGGUAACAGACCUCGGUCAAUAACAUAUUAACUUAAACCAGAACUUCCUCCUCUGGGGGGCCACACGGCAAAAAGUGGCCCCAUUCUCUCCUGCCGGAGUCUUAACUGUUCACAGGUGACUCCGUGGGGGGAUUAAAACACAAACCACCUCUCUGUUACAUCCAAACCCCCCGAACUUGUCGUCACCGUUUCCUCUCCCGGCAGCGAAUUCCAUAAUGGAAACGGGGCAAGUUCUUUACCUUUUGUCAUCUGGUCAUUUUCAGUGGGAGCUGUGGCACAAGUGGAAAACAGUAGCUAAUCACCACCAGGCCCUGUCCCUGCCCCCCCAGCCCCAGCCCUCCCCCCAGCCCCAGCCCUCCCUGGAUACAGACAAGACAGACUUUCCACAGGGGGAGACACACACACCUCUCUUGUAAUUUACCAAACACCGGCACAGCCAGCAUCGAUGUGUGUGUUUUCAGUAAAUCCCCUUGUUGUCAUGACUCUGGUGGGUUUUGUUUUGGCUUUCAGGCCUCAGGUGAGUCUGAGCCUGAAGAGACAGAUCUCUCACUCAGUCAUGGUAUUGCAGUCAACACUACAACAUGUGGUCGGCUAUCCUCCCUGUCAGAUGUACUGAGAAAUACAAAUACCACGAUGUAAAACUAUACUCCACUAAACGUAAAAGUAUUUACGACGUCCAAAGUACUUGUUCUAUACAAAAAAUAUCAUAUGUGACUGAUGUAUUAUUAUAAAAUAUGAUGUUAUUUAUUGGAUUGUUAAUGCUGAUUGUUAAGUGACAUAGUUUUACUGUUAAGACUUAACUAGUUAAUAUACGUUUAAAUAUAACAGUUUUUAAAUAUGACCUGCACCCUGAUCUGUGGAUUUCACUCCCAUGUUUGCUGUAGAGUUUAAUAUGGAAGUGAAAAAUAAAGCUGAAUCUAUAGCUUGA